rnacentral:rRNA from 1 species
GACGAACCGUGCGAACGUUGUUCGGAAUCACUGGGCUUAAAGGGCGCGUAGGCGGGUUUGAAAGUCUGCGGUGAAAUCCUCCAGCUUAACUGGAGAAGUGCCGUGGAUACUGCAAGCCUCGAGGAGGGUAGGGGCAUCUGGAACAGUAGGUGGAGCGGUGAAAUGCGUUGAUAUCUACUGGAACUCCGGUGGCGAAGGCGAGGUGCUGGACCCUUUCUGACGCUGAGGCGCGAAAGCCAGGGGAGCGAACGGG